CUGGUCGAGAUGCACUGAAGGAAUUUUAGAUCAGUUCUGAUUAAAAGGCUCAUGUUGCAGCCUUUGGUGAGAUCAAGUAUCCAAUGCCUGUUACGUACACAGCAGCACAAAAUAAUCUGCAAGAUCUCAAAGAUCUCAAGGAUCAUUCAAUCACAAAUACGCAUCAGUCCUGCUGCACAUCAUCAAAAAGCCAGAAGAAGCAACUGCCACCAAAGCUGGAACGCCCACGCUCCUGAAAAGGCUGUGAACUCCAGAAAAAAAAAGCCUUUGUUGUAGGGAUGAAAAGCAGCAUUUGAAAUGCACAAAACACACUGUCUCCAAGUGAUUUCUGGAGCUUAACAUCACAGAGAAGACUCUGGGUAAGAUGGUGUACAAGUGGACUACUUGAAGGAGCAGAUGUCACGAACUGAAUGUGCUGCUCGGCGCGGUUCUUCUGCUCAAAAGGUCAAAGUCAAAGGAAACAGUCUUCCCCUGACGGCGGGAGGCGCUGCGAGGGAAGGAGGAGGAAAAUACAAACAGCGAGGAAGCGCCGGGCGAGGACACGAGCGGCGGGUGAAAUCAGCUAGUUAGUAGUCAGAGGGCGACGCGGAAACAUCCAAGCGGGUUGUUUUUCAUGGCGGCUCGCUGUGAGGAUGAAGCACAGUCUGAGAGUUAUUACGCCAGGAAGAGCUUCAGAAAAACACCCGUAAAGAUUUACAUGAAGUGGCUGCUGGGAAUACGGACACGGACGUUGUGCGAUGGAUACCUGCGUAUUAUGCAAAAAUCCUCCCCGGGCCCUUUUUAGGCGAAGGAGUCAGACUGGGACGGACGGAGGCCCCCGGCUUACAUUAGUACAUAAAUACAAACCGCCCACAUUCGGCGCAGUUCCGUUCCAGUAAUCAGUCUCAUUUGACCCAUUUUGUGUAACAUUAUGCUUACCCAGCUGGUAUGAUUUCACCCCCCCCCCCCCCCCCCCCGCCCCCCCACGACCAUUGAUGGGCUGUUAAUAAAGCUUUUAGAACAUUAGCC
ensembl:lncRNA